rnacentral:rRNA from 1 species
CAUGGCUCAGAUUGAACGCUGGCGGAAUGCUUUACACAUGCAAGUCGGGCGGCAGCGCGGGGGCAACCCUGGCGGCGAGCGGCGAACGGGUGAGUAAUACAUCGGAACGUACCCAGUCGUGGGGGAUAGCCCGGCGAAAGCCGGAUUAAUACCGCAUACGCCCUGAGGGGGAAAGCGGGGGACCGGAAACGGCCUCGCGCGAUUGGAGCGGCCGAUGGCGGAUUAGCUAGUUGGUGGGGUAAAGGCCUACCAAGGCGACGAUCCGUAGCUGGUCUGAGAGGAUGAUCAGCCACACUGGAACUGAGACACGGUCCAGACUCCUACGGGAGGCAGCAGUGGGGAAUUUUGGACAAUGGGCGCAAGCCUGAUCCAGCCAUUCCGCGUGAGUGAAGAAGGCCUUCGGGUUGUAAAG